UACGGGGGGGGCAAGCGUUGUUCGGAAUUACUGGGCGUAAAGGGCUCGUAGGCGGCCAACUAAGUCAGACGUGAAAUCCCCAGGCUCAACCUGGGAACUGCGUCUGAUACUGGAUGGCUUAAUUCGGGAGAGGGAUGCAGAAUUCCAGGUGUAGCGGUGAAAUGCGUAGAUAUCUGGAGGAAUACCGGUGGCGAAGGCGGCAUCCUGGACCGACAUUGACGCUGAACGGCGAAAGCUAGGGGAGCAAACGGG
rnacentral:rRNA from 1 species